AGCCAUGCGAGUCGAGAGAAUAAGAUUCUCGGCAUACCGCUCAGUAACACGUGGAUAACUGCCCUGUGCUGGGGGAUAACCUCGCGAAAGUGAGAACAAUACCCCAUGGGUCACUAUGCCUGGAACGGUUAGUGGCUGAAAGCUCCGGCGGCACAGGAUGGGUCUGCGGCGUAUCAGGUCGUAGGGGGUGUAACGUACCUCCUAGCCUUCGACGCGUACGGGUUGUGAGAGCAAUUGCCCGGAGAUGGAUUCUGAGACACGAAUCCAGGCCCUACGGGGCGCAGCAGGCGCGAAAACUUGACAAUGCGAGAAAUCGUGAUCAGGGGACUCCAGUUGGCUGGAUCAAAAGUCCAGUCUGAACCGACUUUAAAUCGGUCGGGUAAUAGGGGCGGGAAAGACCGGUGCCAGCCGCCGCGGUAAUACCGGCGCCCCAAGUGGUCGUCACUAUUAUUGGGCCUAAAACGUCCGUAGCCGGUUUGGUAAAUCCGUGGGUAAAUCAGACAGCCCAACUGUCUGAAUUCUGCGGGGACUGCCAGACUUGAGACCGGGAGAGGUGCGGGGUACUUGCGGGGUACCGGUAAAAUGGGAUCAUCCCGUAGAGACCACCUGUUGCGAAGGCGCCGCACUAGAACGGAUCUGACGGUCAGGGACGAAGCCUAGGGGCACGAACCGGAUUAGAUACCCGGGUAGUCCUAGGUGUAAACGCUGUGGACUUGGUGUCGGGGACCUUCUGAGGGUUUCCGGUGCCGGAGUGAAGAUGUUAAGUCCACUGCCUGGGGAGUACGGUCGCAAGGCUGAAACUU
rnacentral:rRNA from 1 species